GGAGGUGACAAUCAUGUCGGAGUUGUCAAUUGGGGUUGCAAUAGCAGUGACCCAGUCAGUGUGGGCUUUCAUGGUACCGCGGAGGACUAGUGAUUCUUGCGACAUUUUCUCAGAUUGGUGGCGGCCGUCAGUGAAAUCACCUUUGGUGGCAGAGAAAGGAGAGGCGGAGAUGAAAAUGGAGAGAGAAUCACUAGUCCUCCG
rnacentral:misc_RNA from 1 species